rnacentral:rRNA from 1 species
CCGUAGCCUGGUAGCGGGGGAUAACUAUUGGAAACGAUAGCUAAUACCGCAUAACAGUAGAUAUUGCAUGAUAUCUGCUUAAAAGGUGCAAUUGCAUCACUACCAGAUGGACCUGCGUUGUAUUAGCUAGUUGGUGAGGUAACGGCUCACCAAGGCGACGAUACAUAGCCGACCUGAGAGGGUGAUCGGCCACACUGGGACUGAGACACGGCCCAG